GAUGAACGCUGGCGGCGUGCCUAAUACAUGCGAGUCGAGCGAACAGACGAGGAGCUUGCUCCUCUGACGUUAGCGGCGGACGGGUGAGUAACACGUGGAUAACCUACCUAUAAGACUGGGAUAACUUCGGGAAACCGGAGCUAAUACCGGAUAAUAUAUUGAACCGCAUGGUUCAGUAGUGAAAGACGGUUUUGCUGUCCCUUAUAGAUGGAUCCGCGCCGCAUUAGCUAGCUGGUAAGGUAACGGCUUACCAAGGCAACGAUGCGUAGCCGACCUGAGAGGGUGAUCGGCCACACUGGAACUGAGACACGGUCCAGACUCCUACGGGAGGCAGCAGUAGGGAAUCUUCCGCAAUGGGCGAAAGCCUGACGGAGCAACGCCGCGUGAGUGAUGAAGGUCUUCGGAUCGUAAAGCUCUGUUAUUAGGGAAGAACAAGUGUGUAAGUAACUAUGCACGUCUUGACGGUACCUAAUCAGAAAGCCACGGCUAACUACGUG
rnacentral:rRNA from 1 species